rnacentral:tRNA from 1 species
GGGGGAGUUACCCAAGCGGUCAACGGGAGCGGACUGUAAAUCCGCCGGCUCAGCCUUCGGAGGUUCGAAUCCUCCCUCCCCCACCA